rnacentral:rRNA from 1 species
GACGAACGCUGGCGGCGUGCUUAACACAUGCAAGUCGAACGGAAAGGCCCUGCUUUUGUGGGGUGCUCGAGUGGCGAACGGGUGAGUAACACGUGAGUAACCUGCCCUUGACUUUGGGAUAACUUCAGGAAACUGGGGCUAAUACCGGAUAGGAGCUCCUGCUGCAUGGUGGGGGUUGGAAAGUUUCGGCGGUUGGGGAUGGACUCGCGGCUUAUCAGCUUGUUGGUGGGGUAGUGGCUUACCAAGGCUUUGACUGGUAGCCGGCCUGAGAGGGUGACCGGCCACAUUGGGACUGAGAUACGGCCCAGACUCCUACGGGAGGCAGCAGGGGGGAAUAUUGCACAAUGGGCGGAAGCCUGAUGCAGCAACGCCGCGUGCGGGAUGACGGCCUUCGGGUUGUAAACCGCUUUCGCCUGUGACGAAGCGUGAGUGACGGUAAUGGGUAAAGAAGCACCGGCUAACUACGUG